AAGGCUCGUAACACCCUGAUGAUGCUUGUUGUGUGGGAAAUCUGGAACGAACGCAACACAAGGAUCUUCCGCAACACCUCCGCCCCUACUACCGUCGUCAUCGCCAAGAUUAAGGAUGAAGCCUCUCUUUGGGCUCGUGCGGGUGUGAAGUAUUUGAGUAAUAUUAUGCUGCGAGAGUAA
rnacentral:rRNA from 1 species